UAAGGUCACGGCGAGACGAGCCGUUUAUCAUUACGAUAGGUGUCACGUGGAAGUGCAGUGAUGUAUGCAGCUGAGGCAUCCUAACAGACCGAGAGAUUUGAAC
rnacentral:rRNA from 1 species